GUCCAAUCUAAUGCUACUUUACAACCUUUUUCUUAGGGUACAGUGUACUAUAUAGUAUAAACAGAUAAGAAAAAUACUAAUAACUAUUUGCAAUUACAAGUCACAUUCUUUUAGGGACAAAUUUUCAUAAUCUUAUGAUACAGGGUAUUAAUCAUCAGCGAAAGAAAGGUGGUUGAGAUAGAGAGUUUUUAGGUGCUGUGCAAUUGUAAAGCUUCACUCACAUGAAGGUGAAUUAUAUAGAACCAUGAUUAGGCUGAUCAAGGUCUAUUGCAGUGAGUAUUAAGCAGCAAUAAUACAGUAUCCAUAAAAUGGAUGUAAUUGAGGUGAUGAUGUUACUGUAUGCGGAACAGGAACUAGUACAUGGUAUGCCAAUUAAGUAAAAUGGAAUGUGGUACAAAGGUGGUAGACUUCUUUUAGAUAAUAGUCAGAAGAUAAUGUCUAUGAAAUCAUGAGAACCUGCUUCAUCACCAAUUAUAUAUUGCAUGCCAAAGAGUUAAUAGGACAAUUUUGAAUUGGAUGGAAUUGAGAUAGCCUCAGCCUUAUAAACUCAUCAAGAACCAUUCUAACAUAUUUUCAAGC
rnacentral:misc_RNA from 1 species